GCGCCUCCUCCUUCGCACGUGGUGUUCCCGCAGCCGCCGCGCUCUCCCGGACUAGGCGCUGCAGCCAUGGCUCCUGGCCACCUCGGUGAGGCCCUCGCGGAGCCGCGCCAUCUGCGAGCUUGCUUCGCAGCUCGGUGUCCCUCCAUGGCUGUGGCCGGGCGGCCACCGCGGGCCGGGCUGGGCUGGGCUGCGGACCUCUCUGUGGGCUGCGAUCGGUGCCUAGAGCCCGCCUGUCCCCGCGCAGCGUCUCCUUCCCCGGGCUCGCCAGCUUGCGACCCGGGUGGCUUCGGGGCAUGGCCUGCCUGUCGUAGGCCCAGACGCUGGCCUCCUCACGCGUGAGGUUCCUCCCCCAGGCCUUGGAGAAGCAGUGUAACGUACUGCAAGUAGUGAGCAAAAAAUGCCUUCUCUUUCAGCCUUGUUCAGUGUCUCUGACAAAACUGGCCUUGUGGAAUUUGCCAGAAAUCUAACGUCUCUUGGUUUGAAUCUGGUCGCUUCCGGAGGAACUGCAAAAGCUCUCAGAGAUGCUGGCCUGGCAGUCAGGUAAGGGACAAUUUAGUUUUUAAGGUAAGUCCAGGCAGAAAGGGAUCCAUCCAGAAAAGAAUGUAAUCCAGGAACCAUGAAUAAAACUCCUUAUACUGAGUAACCCUGCAAGGUUGGUGCACUCCUCACCCACUUCAUGAAAGAGGAAAAUGAGCCUCAGAAGUUUAGUAACUUAACAGAUCUAGGGUCAAGUAAGGUGUAUGAUUGGAACCCAGGUAGUUUCAGAACCCCACAUUAAUUUAGGUGGGUCAUCUGUUAUGCACGAUGAACUCAAAAGUUAUAAUUCCCUCUGUUCACGUGAUUAACUGUUUAAUAAAGCUGUUUACAUGUUUUGAAGAAUCACAUUUACUUCCCCUUGGCACCUCCCCUAAGGGGAUGAAAGAGAGAACAAGUCAUUCAUUGGCUCAUUUAUUACCUUACUGGGCAGUGGAAGGAGAUGCCCAGGAGAUAAAGCAGGAGGCCAUUCCAGACCUCAAGGAGCUUGCAUUAUGGCUGGAGAGGAGGGAAGGCCACUGAAAGGCAGAAAGUGAAAAGGUCAGAUAUAAUAACUGUAGUGAGAGUUCAGAGGAAGGCCAUAUCAACCUCUGAGAGAGAUUUUAGAAAAGGGAUGAAAACUGCCUUUGUUGCUGUGUGGAAAAUUCACUUCUGGCCCUCCAGACCAUGUUGAUGUGGAUUAUCCACCUUUUUCUUCAUGUAAUUCUGUGGUGCAUGAGCAGAGCCUCCCUAGAUGUACAAGUUCAGAUGCCAAGAGAAAGCUUUAUUAAAUAAAUGCUUUCUCUCAAAUUUUUUUUGUCCUUUUCCAGUACUGGGAAUUGAAUCAAGGGUGUUCUACCACUGAGCUACUUUCCCAGCUCCCUACUGCCUCCUACCCCAUCACACACACUUUUUACAAAAAAAAUUUUGAGACAGAGUCUCACUAAGUUUUCCCAGGCUGGCCUCAAACUUGGAAUCAUCCUGCCUCAGCUUCCCAAGUAACUGGGAUUACAGAUGUGUACCUCUGCACCCUGCUGUUUCUCAAAGCCUUUUUACAUCUUAACACUGAGGUAGUAAAAGUGGCUUCUGAUUCUCAACAUGUUGAUGUAUUCCUUCCAGUGUUUUUAUAAGCAUUUCCUCUCUUAUGUGAGGUCUGUGAGAAUCACAGAAAGCUGGCAGGUCCAUUCUUCUGAAGAGCAGCAGGAUGAGACUAUGGAGUCCAUAUGUCUUCUUUCCAUUGGGCUGAGUUGGGGUCAGUUCUCAUCUGCCCCCACCUUUUUCUCCUUCAAACCUUGUAUUAUGGAAACAUUCCAGGCAAAAUGAGUAUAACGUGUAAAGUAAUAAUAACCUCUAUGUGUGUGCUAUCGAGUUUAAAUAGUUAUCAACUUUCCAGUGUUAUUGUUAUUUCUGUCUCUACCUACUCCUCACUUACCCCCAUUAUGAUGAUAGCUUUUCUUUUUUUUUUUUUAAUUGAGAAGAUAGAUAUGUUUCUAUGCUAUUAAAGGGUGAGAAUGUUCUCCAUGAAUGGUUUACAUAGAGCCCAGCACAAUAAACUUCAUUGAAUGGAGUAAGACAAGUGAGAGGGGUGUUUUUUUGUUAUUUGUUUUUUUGGUACGAGGGAUUGAACCCAGAGGUACUUAGCUACCCAGCCACAUCCCCAACCCUUUUUAUUUUUUAUUUUGGGCUCACUUAGUUGCUUAGGGCCUCUCUAAAUUGCUGAGGCUGGCUUUGAAUUUGUAGUUCUCCUUCCUCUGCCUCCAAGCCACUGGGAUUACAGGAAUGUGCCACCAUGCCCUACCUGAGGGCUGUUUUAUGUAUAUUAACUCAUAUAGUCCUCCCAGUAACAUUUUUGGUGUGGGUAAUAUUGUCCCUAUUAGGCAAUUAAGAAAACUGAGUUACAAAGAAAUCUGUAGGGGGGUUGGGUGUGUAAGUCAGUGAUAGAGUGUUCAUGUAGCAUGCAAAGAGGCCAGGAUCUUUCCCAGAAAGGUAACUGUUGUCUUGUGUGGUCAACUGGUGAGGUUUCAGAGUAUACAAUAGUAAAUAGAGAAUUGUUUCUGAAGACUACAUGUGUUACAGACAAAUUCUUGAGUACAAAGGAAUAACAAGCUUUUUAACCCCACAUGUUUAUUUCUAGGAAUAAAUCUGCUAUCUCUGUUUUAAGUGAUAAUCUUUAGUUGGAAGAACUGAAUUUUAUUUACUGAAUUUAUUCCUGUGUAGUGUACUCAGGAAAUCUGUAUCCUGUUUUCAGAAUUUGCUGUUCUAAAAUUUUAUUAUUUUCUUCCUAUAAAUGCCAUAUAUGUUGAUUGCAGAAAAUUUUUUAAAGUGUGGAAAUCUAUAAAGAAGAUAGUAAAAAGGCUUAUAAUUCUCAACAUGUUAAUGUCUUUCUUCCAGUGUUUUUAUAAGCAUUUACUUUACUUCAUAGCUUACACAGAAGAUACAGUUUUGCUUCUUGUUUUUUUUGCCCUUGCUUAUAUAUAUUAUGGGCAUUUUCCCACAUCAUUACAAUUUAUAAUUUUGCCAGAGAAUGUUUAUGUGUGUAGCUUUCUGGAGGUCAGCUUGACUGAUGUGGGUUAAUAUUUUAAAAUUGCCCUUUAUAUUUUGUGAUCCCUGUUAUCGUUUUUCUAUGUAGUUUUAACAUUUACAUAGUAUUUAAUGACGUUUUGUAUAACACCCACACUGCUUCUUUUCCCCCUUUUUUAUGGUAUGAGGAGUUGAACCCAGAGGUACACUAUUCCUGAGCUUCAUUCCAGUCCUAUCAUAUUUUAAUUUUUUUUGAGACAGGGUCUCACUAAGUUGCUGAGAACCUCUCUAAGUUGCUGAGGCUGGCCUUGACUUUGUGAUCCUCUUGUGUCAGUUUCCAGAGUAGCUAGGAUUUGGGGCAUGUCUUGCCACAUCAGGCCUUACCUCACUUUUCAGAACAGGCUUCUUUUUCCACUUGUUUGAGAUGCCACUUUUAUGCUUUUUUAAUCAUAAAACUCAAUUCUUAUUUCUACUUGGUUAAUUUCUGAGAUAAGAAUAUUUUUAAUGCUUCUUAUUAGAUACUGCCAAAUUGCUUCUCAGGUUGAAUCUAUUUCUUAAUAUUUAAUUAGUAUGGUUUAUGAUUCAAUUUCUGAAUUCCUGAAAAAAAAAAUGUAAAAUUAGUGCUUUAGUAUACUGGUUUUCCCCAAACAUAAACUUCAGUUAAAAAAUAGAAUAACAUUUGUUUGGAAAGUUAAUAGAAUUUUAUGUAAGAAAUGAAAUGUACCUGGCCAAGGUGGUGCACUCCUGGAAUCCCAGUGACUCCAGAGGUUGAGGCAGGAGAAUCAGAGGUUCAAAGCCAGCCUCAGCAAUUUAGCAAAACCCUAAGUAGAUUAGUGAGACUCUGUCUAAAAAUUUUAAAAAGUUCGGGGAGGACUAGGAAUAUAGCUCAGUGGUUAAGCACCUCUGGAAUCAAUCCUUGGUACCAAAAAAUAAGAAGUCGAAUAUUGUGAGAAACUUAGGACACUGGAAUAAUUUUUUUUUGUUCAAUUCAGGCUGUGAAAAAAAAUCUCUUGAAAUGAGAACGAUAGACUUGAUGGGAGCUGUUUGGAUUAUUGACAGUUCAGAAAUAGUCCCAAUAUUCUGUUUAUCUGUUUCAGAGAUGUCUCUGAGAUAACUGGAUUUCCUGAAAUGUUAGGGGGGCGCGUGAAAACCUUGCAUCCUGCAGUCCAUGCGGGUAAGUGAUAUUUUCAGUAA
rnacentral:lncRNA from 1 species